rnacentral:rRNA from 1 species
CCUACGGGUGGCAGCAGUGGGGAAUAUUGGACAAUGGGCGAAAGCCUGAUCCAGCCAUGCCGCGUGUGUGAAGAAGGCCUUCGGGUUGUAAAGCACUUUCAGUGGGGAAGAAAGCCUUGGGGCUAAUACCCUCGAGGAAGGACAUCACCCACAGAAGAAGCACCGGCUAACUCCGUGCCAGCAGCCGCGGUAAUACGGAGGGUGCGAGCGUUAAUCGGAAUUACUGGGCGUAAAGCGCGCGUAGGCGGUCUGAUAAGCCGGUUGUGAAAGCCCCGGGCUCAACCUGGGAACGGCAUCCGGAACUGUCAGGCUAGAGUGCAGGAGAGGAAGGUAGAAUUCCCGGUGUAGCGGUGAAAUGCGUAGAGAUCGGGAGGAAUACCAGUGGCGAAGGCGGCCUUCUGGACUGACACUGACGCUGAGGUGCGAAAGCGUGGGUAGCAAACAGGAUUAGAUACCUGGUAGC